rnacentral:rRNA from 1 species
UUAUGUGAUCGUCUCUCGCAUAUCAAUAAGCGGAGGAAAAGAAACUAACAAGGAUUCCCCUAGUAACAGCGAGUGAAGCGGGAAGAGCUCAAAUUUGAAAUCUUAAAGGGUUUCCCUUUACGAAUUGUAGUUUAAGAAGUGUUUUCUGUUGAGGCUUUGGUAAAAGUUCUUCGGAAUAGGACAUCAUAGAGGGUGAGAAUCCCGUAUUUGACCUUUACUUUCAGCUUUGUGAUACACUUUCAAAGAGUCGGAUUGUUUGGGAAUGCAGUCCAAAAUGGGUGGUAAAUUUCAUCUAAAGCUAAAUAUUGGCGAGAGACCGAUAGCGAACAAGUACCGUGAGGGAAAGAUGAAAAGAACUUUGAAAAGAGAGUUAAACAGUACGUGAAAUUGUCAAAAGGGAAGCGUUUGACACCAGUGUUGUUUUUCUGAAAAUCAAUUAAAGAACUGUUUAUGCUAAGCUGUUUAGACUUUAUCAGCUAACUGUUUAGUUUUGAGCUUUUCUUUAAUGCACUUUUCAGUUAACAAGUCAACAUCAAUUUCUUUUGCUGUAAAAAAGCUUGAGGAAGGGUGGCUUGAGAUUCGUCUUAAGUGUUUAUAGCCUCUUGCCUAUGCAGUCGGAGAGAUUGAGGUCUGCAGCGUAGAUCCUUCGGGGCUAAAUGCAUUUGUGCUAAGUUAUAGCAUUUUAUAGACAACUUGUUGACUAUGAUUUGUCUUGUAGCUUACUCGCUUAUGUUAUUUUACCUACGCUUAGGAUGUUGAUCUACAGAGCGAGAGU